rnacentral:tRNA from 1 species
GGCUUUAUAGUUCAGUGGUCAGAGCGUUGGCACCGGAAUCGCAAAGGUCAUGGGUUUGAAUCCCUUUGGAGCCU